rnacentral:lncRNA from 1 species
GAUAAGCACUUAGAACCUGGCAUUAUUGCUUAAUAAUUUAUUGUCUUCGUAUUUGGUUUAGAACUUUGAAAUCCUUAAGUUUUAAACUAAAUGCAUUUUAAUUCUGAAGAUGUCUAUAUAUGCUUAGGAUUACUGCAUAUUGGUAUUUAAAUAUGUAUAUUUAAAUAUAUGAAUGUAUUUAGAUACAUGUAUAAAUACAGUCUGAAUACUACUCUCUAGCCAUUAUCAGUAUCUUAAUUCCAUCUCCCUUCCACUGG